AGUCGAGAGAAGAGUUUGAUCCAGUGCUCAGGAUGAACGCUAGCGGCAGGCCUAAUACAUGCAAGUCGAGGGGCAGCGCGGCAGCAAUGCUGGCGGCGACCGGCGGACGGGUGCGUAACGCGUAUGGAACUUGUCCGGUGCUCAGGAAUAGCCCCCGGAAACGGGGAUUAAUGCCCGAUGGCGCGAUAGUGUGGCAUCACACGGUCGCUAAAGCCCAGGCGGCACCGGGUGGCCAUGCGUUCGAUUAGCUAGUUGGCGGGGUAACGGCCCACCAAGGCGACGAUCGAUAGGGGUCCUGAGAGGGAGGUCCCCCACACUGGUACUGAGACACGGGCCAGACUCCUACGGGAGGCAGCAGUAGGGAAUAUUGGGCAAUGGGGGCAACCCUGACCCAGCCAUGCCGCGUGCAGGAGGAAGGCCCUCUGGGUUGUAAACUGCUUUUGGGAGGGGACAAAAAGGCCGUGCGCGGCUCAUUGAGUGUACCUCCAGAAUAAGCACCGGCUAACUCCGUGCCAGCCGCCGCGGUA
rnacentral:rRNA from 1 species